rnacentral:misc_RNA from 1 species
CACCACUCAAGCCUCGCUUGGUAAUGGGCCACGGGGGCGACCCGGGCCCCAAAAUCGUCGGCCGGACGGUCCGAAUCUCAGCGUCGUGGCAAACAUCCGCUGGCGAGACGGGCGAUCCGCGCCGUGAAAUCCAUCACAGG